CACCUUUUAUACAAUAGUCCUUUGAUUUUCCAUUUAACAUACAAGCCUCUAGUCCUGGGCUAGGGUACAUUUUGAUAUACGUCGGACAAAGCUACAGUUCGGUCGGACACCAAUACACUCGGGUCGGACAAACAAUAAACCUCAGUUUCACUUUGGUCGGACAGAAUGUUCGAUGGUUUCCUCUCUACGUCGGACAAUUUCACGAAUGGGUCGGACAAUGUCCGUGACCGACCGAUAUUUUAAGGCCUG